rnacentral:tRNA from 1 species
CGGGGUGUAGUACAACGGUAGUAUGCAGGCAUGGGGGGUCUGUGACCCGGGUUCAAUUCCCGGCACCCCGACCA